rnacentral:tRNA from 1 species
GGUAUAGUGCAGUUGGUUAACGCGUCGGAUUGUGGUUCCGAAGAUCGUGGGUUCGAGUCCCACUACC